AGAGUUUGAUCCUGGCUCAGAUUGAACGCUGGCGGCAGGCUUAACACAUGCAAGUCGAGCGGAAACGAUGAUAGCUUGCUAUCAGGCGUCGAGCGGCGGACGGGUGAGUAAUACUUAGGAAUCUACCUAGUAGUGGGGGAUAGCACGGGGAAACUCGUAUUAAUACCGCAUACGACCUACGGGAGAAAGGGGGCAGUUUACUGCUCUCGCUAUUAGAUGAGCCUAAGUCGGAUUAGCUAGAUGGUGGGGUAAAGGCCUACCAUGGCGACGAUCUGUAGCUGGUCUGAGAGGAUGAUCAGCCACACCGGGACUGAGACACGGCCCGGACUCCUACGGGAGGCAGCAGUGGGGAAUAUUGGACAAUGGGGGAAACCCUGAUCCAGCCAUGCCGCGUGUGUGAAGAAGGCCUUUUGGUUGUAAAGCACUUUAAGCAGUGAAGAAGACUCCGUGGUUAAUACCCACGGACGAUGACAUUAGCUGCAGAAUAAGCACCGGCUAACUCUGUGCCAGCAGCCGCGGUAAUACAGAGGGUGCAAGCGUUAAUCGGAAUUACUGGGCGUAAAGGGAGCGUAGGUGGCUCUAUAAGUCAGAUGUGAAAUCCCCGGGCUCAACCUGGGAACUGCAUCUGAAACUGUAGAGCUAGAGUAUGUGAGAGGAAGGUAGAAUUCCAGGUGUAGCGGUGAAAUGCGUAGAGAUCUGGAGGAAUACCGAUGGCGAAGGCAGCCUUCUGGCAUAAUACUGACACUGAGGCUCGAAAGCGUGGGUAGCAAACAGGAUUAGAUACCCUGGUAGUCCACGCCGUAAACGAUGUCUACUAGUCGUUGGGUCCCUUGAGGACUUAGUGACGCAGCUAACGCAAUAAGUAGACCGCCUGGGGAGUACGGCCGCAAGGUUAAAACUCAAAUGAAUUGACGGGGGCCCGCACAAGCGGUGGAGCAUGUGGUUUAAUUCGAUGCAACGCGAAGAACCUUACCUGGUCUUGACAUAUCUAGAAUCCUGCAGAGAUGCGGGAGUGCCUUCGGGAAUUAGAAUACAGGUGCUGCAUGGCUGUCGUCAGCUCGUGUCGUGAGAUGUUGGGUUAAGUCCCGCAACGAGCGCAACCCUUGUCCUUAGUUACCAGCGGGUUAAGCCGGGAACUCUAAGGAUACUGCCAGUGACAAACUGGAGGAAGGCGGGGACGACGUCAAGUCAUCAUGGCCCUUACGACCAGGGCUACACACGUGCUACAAUGGUAGGUACAGAGGGCAGCUACACAGCGAUGUGAUGCGAAUCUCAAAAAGCCUAUCGUAGUCCAGAUUGGAGUCUGCAACUCGACUCCAUGAAGUAGGAAUCGCUAGUAAUCGCGGAUCAGAAUGCCGCGGUGAAUACGUUCCCGGGCCUUGUACACACCGCCCGUCACACCAUGGGAGUUGAUUGCACCAGAAGUGGAUAGCUUAACCUUCGGGGAGGCGUUCACCACGGUGUGGU
rnacentral:rRNA from 1 species